UAAUGCUUAUUAUUUAAUUUGAAUACCAUUCGUGACAAUACGCUGCAUUCGCUAAAAAACACUUGCUUUCAUGCCGAUUUUCGGAAUGUCAUGAAAAAUGGAGUGUCAAAGAAAUAUCUACAUUCUCUGGUAUAAUCUACAUUCUCUGUAUGUACAACGGCUGCGUGUAAAACUUUUGAUAUACUUUAAUUUAAGUUGUGCUACGUAACAAUUAUUUUAACAAUUAUCAUUAACUGAAAGAACUAUAAAAUUUUUUAAAUUGCAAGUAAUUAUGUACCCAGUACAUUUCUGCAUUAAUGCUUGAAAUAGUUUAAAAUUUAUUCAACUAACAAGUCCGGUAACACUCUACUUUUGACAGCCGGCAACAAGCCCCUGUGCGUGGUUUUUUUUGAUUGAAUUUCGAAACAUUGCGAUUUUUUGCCAAUUUUCUAAUUAUUGGCUGAAUUUGUGUAUAAUCAGUAAUAGUGACUAUAGAUUUAGACUUUGUUGAAUAAAUAUUGUAAAAUAUACAGCACUUGUAAAAACCGACUGACGACUGAAAGUUAAAUCAAUUUGUUGCCGCCAAUUUGUUUUAAGUAAGAAACACAAUAUGUUCGGUCAGCAAACCAUUGGUGCGACCGCCGCUGCACCUUCUACAAAUCGCAUGAAUGACUUCGAAGUAACAAUGCCACCGGAUGAUUCCGUAUCCGCAAUGGAAUUCAGUCCCAGCACGAUACCGCAGAACUUUCUCAUAGCUGGUAGCUGGGAUAGCAGCGUACGUUGUUGGGAGGUGGAGCAGACAGGUAAAACUGUUCCAAAGUCAAUGAAAACAAUGGGAGGACCAGUGUUAGAUGUAUGUUGGUCUGACGACGGUACAAAAGUUUAUAUGGCAUCCUGUGACAAACAAGUAAAAAUGUGGGAUUUAGCCUCCGACCAAGUAGUACAGGUAGCGGCACAUGAUGCACCCGUAAAGACAUGUCACUGGAUAAAAGGUUCAAAUUAUAGUUGUUUAAUGACUGGUUCGUGGGAUAAAACUUUAAAGUUUUGGGAUACUCGUACACCCAAUCCACUAAUGGCAAUUAAUUUACCGGAACGCUGUUACUGUGCCGAUGUAGAUUAUCCAAUGGCUGUUGUUGGUACUGCUAAUAGGGGUCUAAUUGUUUAUUCACUGGAAAACACACCGACUGAGUUUAAACGACAAGACAGCCCGCUGAAAUAUCAACAUCGAACAAUAUCAAUUUUUAGAGAUAAGAAAAAAGCACCGACAGGUUAUGCGCUUGGAAGUAUUGAAGGUCGUGUUGCAAUCCAGUAUGUAAAUCCAGUGAAUCCAAAAGAUAAUUUCACUUUUAAGUGCCAUCGCACAACUGGUACUGCCGGUUAUCAGGACAUUUUUGCUGUGAAUGAUAUAGCCUUCCAUCCGGUGCAUGGUACUUUGGUAACUGUGGGCUCAGAUGGCACUUUCAGCUUCUGGGAUAAAGAUGCGCGUACAAAACUUAAAUCUUCAGAGACAAUGGAUCAAUCGAUUACAAAGUGUGCUUUCAAUAAUAAUGGGCAAAUAUUCGCUUAUGCGGUUGGCUAUGAUUGGUCGAAGGGCCAUGAGUACUUCAAUCCAGGCAAAAAACCACAAAUCUUCCUCCGUUCUUGUUACGACGAACUCAAACCUCGUAUUGCUUAAAUUGUACACGUUAUCAUAUAAAUAGGAUCAGAACUAAUUACCCAAUAGAACUAUUAAUUAAACUUUGAAACCGAUGCAUUUCACAAUAACGACGAAUGUUCCACGCAAAGGAGUUUUUAAUGAUGCCCGCCUUCAGAGUGUUCACCAUCGCCAUGUCCAUGACCGUGAUCAUCUUUCGAAC